UUACCUUAAAUUUGUAUGGAGUUGGAACGCUUGCCUACGUUUGUCGCUAGGGGCGCUGUUCCAACUGCAUACAAAUUUGAGUUA
rfam:Bombyx mori DNA, contig: Bm_scaf25_contig16705, strain: p50T/Dazao, build 2, whole genome shotgun sequence.